GAUGAACGCUGGCGGCGUGCUUAACACAUGCAAGUCGAACGGAAAGGCUCCUGCUUGCAGGGGUACUCGAGUGGCGAACGGGUGAGUAACACGUGGGUGAUCUGCCCUGCACUUCGGGAUAAGCCUGGGAAACUGGGUCUAAUACCGGACAGGACGAUGGUUUGGAUGCCAUUGUGGAAAGUUUUUUCGGUGUGGGAUGAGCUCGCGGCCUAUCAGCUUGUUGGUGGGGUAAUGGCCUACCAAGGCGUCGACGGGUAGCCGGCCUGAGAGGGUGUACGGCCACAUUGGGACUGAGAUACGGCCCAGACUCCUACGGGAGGCAGCAGUGGGGAAUAUUGCACAAUGGGCGCAAGCCUGAUGCAGCGACGCCGCGUGGGGGAUGACGGCCUUCGGGUUGUAAACUCCUUUCGCUAGGGACGAAGCGCAAGUGACGGUACCUGGAGAAGAAGCACCGGCUAACUACGUG
rnacentral:rRNA from 1 species